rnacentral:tRNA from 1 species
GCCUCGGUAGCGCAGUAGGUAGCGCGUCAGUCUCAUAAUCUGAAGGUCAUGAUUUCGAUUCUCACCCGGGGUA